GGUAUGGGACAGCGAUCUCCCCGUGAAGCGACUUGCCCAAGUAUCGCGUCCUUUCUCCAGGAGGACGCACGCAUG
rnacentral:ncRNA from 1 species